AGAGUGAGACUCUGUCUCAAAACAAACAAACAAACAAACAAUAGAAAAUUCAGUCUGGACUGGUGGAGGGGAAAUUUUUACACAUAAUAUAAAAAGAUGGUUUUUGUUAUUGAGCUGGUAAUGCCACUGUCAUCAAAUAUGAGGAGAAACCUCCAAAACCAGCAUUUCAGAAUGGUUCCUCAGGAUCCUUUUAUUUGAAGCCUUUGGUAUCCAGGGCUCAUGUUCACUUGCUGAAAACUCCUCCAAAAGGUCCUUCGAGAAAAAAUUUAUUUACAGCUCUUAAUGCAGUUGAAAAGAGCAGGCAAAAGAAUCCUCGAAGCUUAUGUAUCCAGACACAGACAGCUCCCGAUGUGCUGCCCCCUGAGAAAACACUUGAAUUGACGCAAUAUAAAACAAAAUGUGAAAACCAAAGUGGAUUUAUCCUGCAGCUCAAGCAGCUUCUUGCCUGUGGUAAUACCAAGUUUGAGGCAUUGACAGUUGUGAUUCAGCACCUGCUGUCUGAGCGGGAGGAAGCGCUGAAACAACACAAAACCCUAUCU
rnacentral:sRNA from 1 species